GAUAGCUAGGAUGGUAAUUUACAAAGUGGUGCAGAAACUCUGGCUAACCACUGUCAGCUUUGUUCUUCCUCCAUGGGAGGCUCAAACUGAGGUCUCUUUUCUUUGGCAGUUCUAGAAGACCACUGAGCAGUCUUCUAGCAAAUACUGGCGAGGAGCAGAACUCAUUCCUUUCUCUCUCCCUUAUGAUCCAGUUACUUCUCUGAGAGACAGAGGCACCUGGUGCACAGAAAGAGAAGAUGUAUGAGGGAUUAAGAGUAUCUUACUCCUAAGAAGUGCUUCCUGAGCUUUGGAGAAGAAACUCUGGUCUGAGUUUUAACAAAUUUUAAGCAUGGAAAUGUGCCUGUGAAGUAGAUAUUUCUGCUGUGUAUUUCUGUCCUCUACCAGAGAUAGCAAGGCUGAGAGAGAAAGCUACUCCUCUUCAGAGGAAAAACAGGGGACCAGCCAGAGAACAGCCUGGGUGCAGGCACAUAUGCAGGCUGGUGGGACCAGUGGCAUACAGAAGUGUGAAGCAGCAGUGAGAGUACAAGCCAGUGGUUGGUAAAUUAGGUGAAGCAGUGUUGUGCUCCAGCACAGACACGCAGAGUAGAAGAAGGAGGGUGAGCAAGGCCACCACUCCUAGUGCUCUGGGAGAGCACUAGCAGCAGAAGACCAGUCCCAAGCCCCACAUCCAGAGGCCAAGAUCAGCCCUAUGCCCAGCACAAUUCCCCUGGCAAACUUGGCUGGAGAACACAGCACCUUUCUUGGAUCUGACUUGGACCCUAGCACGGAACUGUGGACAUGAGAGGGAUUUUACUGCUUUUAUUUUUCUUUGUUUGUCUGAUUGGUUUUCCUUUUUCUGUCUCAUUGGGCUUGUUUUGUU